CGAAGGCGAAAGGAGGUCCCCCGCGGCGAUUCUUGAGGUCGAUGUCACGGAUAGCGCCGUAUUUGUAGAACACGUCCUCAAUGUCCUUGGUUCGGAUGUCUGGAGGGGUAUUACUCCUUGUCGACUCUUCAAGGAUAGUCAAUUUGCCCAGGACCGUCUUUGAAAGCAACUCGGCGCCUUGAAAAGACGUGGUGAAAUCUAGCCUAGAGGUUUUUCCCACCAUGCUCUGCGGCGGUAACGGCCUUUGGCGGGAAAGACUCCCGAGGGCGGGGCCCGUGGAGGCGGGACCUGGCGGUUGCUCGGGAAACCGGCGCGUCUUGGAGUGAAUCUUAGUCCAGGAGCGCAGUUGCAGGAGGAAGAUUUGAAAUUUUAAUCAAAUUCUUAAAAGAGCUUGUGGAUCCCAAAAGGAGAAAGAUCCUCUGGAAAUUUUAGGUGGAAAGAUUGUCUGCCCUUCAGACCACCCUCCAAUGA